CGCGAAUCGCCCUUCGGGGCGCAGCAGGCGCGAAAACUUUACAAUGCUGGCAACAGCGAUAAGGGGACCUCGAGUGCCAGGAUACAAUCUUGGCUGUCGUGAUGCCUAAAAAGCAUUACAUAGCAAGGGCCGGGCAAGACCGGUGCCAGCCGCCGCGGUAACACCGGCGGCUCGAGUGGUAACCGCUAUUAUUGGGUCUAAAGGGUCUGUAGCCGGCCGGAUAAGUCUCUUGGGAAAUCCAGCAGCUCAACUGUUGGGCUUCCAGGGGAUACUGUUCGGCUCGAGGCCGGGAGAGGUGAGAGGUACUUCAGGGGUAGGGGUGAAAUCUUGUAAUCCUUGAAGGACCACCAGUGGCGAAGGCGUCUCACCAGAACGGUCCUGACGGCAAGGGACGAAAGCUAGGGGCACGAACCGGAUUAGAUACCCGGGUAGUCCUAGCCGUAAACGAUACUCGCUAGGUGUCAGCCACGGUGCGACCGUGGUUGGUGCCGUAGGGAAGCCGUGAAGCGAGCCACCUGGGAAGUACGGCCGCAAGGCUGAAACUUAAAGGAAUUGGCGGGGGAGCAC
rnacentral:rRNA from 1 species